AAAAUGAGUCAGUUAUUGUGGCAGGCGGGACAGUGUCGUGGUUAUCUCCUGCUACUGACUGACCCCUCACCACUGAUGCACCUGGCCGAUCACACCCCCCAUUACGACUGGGACUAUUCCGGCAGGUAUGUGCUGGUUGGACUCAGUUAUGAUCACCUCGACGCCUUCACCAGAACCAUCAAAGGCCGCAAAACCGAACAUAUUGCAGGAAUUUUACCAGACAACAAUGGACAUUUAUUGGUAGUCACCAACGUCCUCUAUAAGAAAGAUCGGUUGGCACAGCUGUUUACUUGGCGAUCAACGACUUCCGCACACCGUGUAACCAUGGAUACUCUUAAUUUGGGCAACUCCACCGCCUCCGCAGCAAUGUGCAAUCCAAGUUGUUUUUUUCAUAUCUUCCCUGAUAAAACAAGAGACCUUGGUGGCGCCAUU